AGUGAACGCUGGCGGUAGGCCUAACACAUGCAGGUCGAACGGCAGCACAGUAAGAGCUUGCUCUUACGGGUGGCGAGUGGCGGACGGGUGAGGAAUACAUCGGAAUCUACUUUUUCGUGGGGGAUAACGUAGGGAAACUUACGCUAAUACCGCAUACGACCUACGGGUGAAAGCAGGGGAUCUUCGGACCUUGCGCGAUUGAAUGAGCCGAUGUCGGGUUAGCUAGUUGGCGGGGUAAAGGCCCACCAAGGCGACGAUCCGUAGCUGGUCUGAGAGGAUGAUCAGCCACACUGGAACUGAGACACGGUCCAGACUCCUACGGGAGGCAGCAGUGGGGAAUAUUGGACAAUGGGCGCAAGCCUGAUCCAGCCAUACCGCGUGGGUGAAGAAGGCCUUCGGGUUGUAAAGCCCUUUUGUUGGGAAAGAAAAGCAGCAGGUUAAUACCCCGCUGUUCUGACGGUACCCAAGGAAUAAGCACCGGCUAACUUCGUG
rnacentral:rRNA from 1 species